rnacentral:tmRNA from 1 species
GGGGGUGCAAGGCACUCGACGGAAGAGCUCUUUGACAAGCUGCAAGCCAAGUUUGAGUCAUACUUGUAAACAGACUCAAAAAACAAGUGUCAACAAUAUUCUUGACACAGCAAAGGAAGUAGCCGCAAGGCUAAAUCCUUUUGCUUCUUUCGCUGGGUACGUACCGGCCGCAAGGCUGGUUGCUUAAGCUAGCGUAAGACAUCUCGGUUCAUUUUCUCGACUGUGAACUAGGGGUGAUAUACCAAUCGAGAUGCUUUCAACCGGUUGCUAACUGGCCUAAGUUGAAUCAAGAUCAAUUAGUUAGAGACGGCUCAAGUCAUAAAACUGAGCUAAGCUUGUAGAUGCUUGACCCAGAACUUUUUCGGACGCGGGUUCGAUUCCCGCCACCUCCACCA